rnacentral:sRNA from 3 species
CAACAAUCGAAAGGAGGUGGUCCAGUGUCUCAUUGUCAUUUGCCGCGUCGGUCGCCGAAUCGCGCCUGGAUCCUCGCCUCUCGCGAGUUCCUGGCUGCGUGACACUUUGAGGUCCGACGGCCGGACCGCGGUUCGACACUGGAAGGGCCGCCCCGCGGGGCGGCCCU